UCCACAUCAGAAGGCCAGGGUUCUUCAGUGCGGGACUGGAGUCUGCACCAGAAACCAAGGGGCCAGAAAGCCAAGGGGCCAGGGCUGAAGACUCCUGCGUCUGCACCAAGACCCAGGAGAUGACUCCCAGGAGAAGGCAGCCUGGAGCUGCUCCAAAGAGAACAGCAGUGGAGGCUCAGCUCGCGAAGCUCUUCCGAGGGUGGGAAGCAGGUGAGAGAUAUGCUACUGGAAACUAUGGUUUAAGGAAAUGUGUCUGGUUAUCAAGUUGACCAGGAGUGGACUGUGCAGGGUUAACUAUUGGUCACCUUGUAACACGCAGCUGAACUGAAUCAGCACGGUUCUGGGUGUGGAAGACCCAUCUGAGGACUGUUGCCAACAGCAUAAAAAUGAGAACUGGAGAGAAUGGUGGUGUGCUGUUGAUUCUCCUGGAGAAGCUUGUCACUCUGCUUUUCCUGAUAUGAACUCAGCUGUUUCCAUUUUUGGCGGAGCUCGGGUCUUCAGCUGGACUCAUGCAGGACAUUGCUGUGGAAUCCAGCCUCUCAGCUGGAUUCUUUGGGUCUCUAGUGCGUGGACAGCAAUCCUGCACUCCUUUACAUUUGACUGUGGGUGAAUAUUAUAACUCUAUAAAUUGUAUCAUGUAUUAAAUCUUUUCCCUUGUAAAUCACUAGCAGCAACACUAGUGAUUAAUGACUUGUGAAUUCUGUAAAAAGCCCAUAUUCUUCAUGAUGUGGCCAAUAAAAUCUCUGCUUAGUUA